CUCCAUUGUUAUCUUCGCUCUGGAAUCGCAACAUGAGUCCAGGACCUUUUAGAACACCCUGUGUAGAAAGUCCAAAAUGUUUUGGACGUACAGCCGUGCUAUAUUGGCGGAGCUACUGGAAGGUGAGGCCAGACCGGACUCGAACGCUCGCGGCGGUUGGAUCGGACGGCCAAAUGGGCCACGCGAGCGGGCGGGUAGCCCGAGUUUUGGCCAUUCGGCCACGACAGUCAGCCAAUGUCCUCCGCUCGGCCGCCACGCGCUCCGGGUCCUUCGAGAUGGACCGCUUUCCACUCUUCUGCGUCUUUUUGACAGUUUCCGUUGUCGUAACCGCAGUAGUGACGGAGUCUGAAGAAGACAGUGAAGAGGCAGAGAGCCACUCUUCGUACGAAGCCGAGGACAUUUUAAGUGGUCGUGGAAAGCAUUGCCCCUUGUGCGACUCCUCCGUUUACAGCUACUGUAGUGACAAGCUCCUUCAUGAUGCGUGUUGUUGCUUGAGCCCGUAUGGUAAGUUACAAUGAGUUCAGGAAGAGGAGUUCGACUCUAUAUGGCACACCAAAAUGUCGGUCAAAAUAAAUCACAAAACUAGAAUGAAUUAUUACAUCUUUUAAAAUAUGCUCAGCGUUAAUUAGAAGAAUUAUAUAAUUUAUUCGAACUGAUUUAAGAAGAAUAUAAUUGCCUACUCUUCAGUAGUUCAACACAUAACAUUUUAGUUGCAUCAAUUGUUUUAAAUAAAACAAAAAGAAUAAUAGGAAGGGUUUACAUCAUAAUUGGUCACGGAAUGUGUUCUUCAGGAUUAUUUUGUACAGCAAAUAUCAUUUAUAAGACAUUACAUAUACAUGUAUAUCGUUGGACACAUUUUACAUUCCGUGACAAGAGCUUUUUGAUUCCAUUAGCGUAAAACUGGCGAUUCUGUUUUUGCAACCACUUUGUACAGCUUCUUUCACUUCAUCAUCGUCCGCGGAACUUUUUUUUGCCAAAGCCCUCCUCUAGCUCAGAUAAUAAGUGGUAAAUCACUUGGGGGUGAGAUCCUGAGAAUAAGAAGGAUGGGGGAAAGGUCCCAUUUGAAGGAGGUCAACAACUGAUUGGUGACAUGAGCUGUAUGGGGCCUAGCGUUGUCAUGAAGCAGCAUCACUUGACAAGACAACAGGCCAGGGUAUUUUCUAUUGAAUGCUGAUUUAAGCCUUUUCAUGACAUCUCAGUUUCUGUUUGCAUCAAUAGUUGUGCUUCUUUCUAAGAAAUCAAUGAGUAACACUCAUUGAACACCCCUGAAGACUCGCGUAAAUUUUGGACUCGCGGUGGUGAGAGGCGGGUGAAAGAAAACUAAUGCCACUCAGCACUCAGAAGACCUUUAAAAAACUGAAAUUUUCUAAAAAGCUGAAAGUAUGGCAAUUCAUAAGCUUUUGCAGAUUUAAAUUAUCUUGAUUAGUUUAGAAGAUAUGACAAAGAUUAACUUACUUUACGAAUACUCUUCGUAGUCUUUAAUGAUCAUCAAAAAUUACAUGUUCACAGACACGGAACUUCCAUAUCAGUGCAAAUUCGCUGACUGUGGAUUUUUGCAUGCAAUUCCUGCAAUGAACACCACCUCAUCACUUCCUGUUGCUGCAAUCAAGCUGCUAGCACAUAGAAUCACAUUCUUUGAACAAAGAUGCGAAGACCAUAUACAAUCGAUCUGAAUUCAGUUUGCGUGCAUGAACAAGGGUAACCUCAAAGAAGUCCGUAAUGACGGAAAACAACAUGACAAGUAAGUAUUGUGCAGGGAAUAAUGUAGAGGAGAGCUUCCUUUGUUAAAGGGUAAAUAGUGAGUUCCUCAGACUGAAAGUGCUAUCCAAAAAUUUCCGAUGACCGAUCAUGAACUACGCACCUAGGUUUCUUUCCCUACCAAUCCUCAAAAUAGUACAAAGUAGUAGUAAUUGAAGUCGUACAAUCUGAUGUAGGAUCCUAAUGUUUCUUGUAAGCACGAAGAAGUGUCUAUAAGAAAUUGUAAUAGAUUAAAUGAAUAGAGGGAGGUAUAAAAUGUUUAAGACUACCUCUAAAAGAAAAAGAGAGAGAUAAGUCCUCUGGGCUUGCGAUGUAUAUUUAAUUUAAGGUUCACCAAAGACUUCUUAUCAUAAUGCUAUUUCCUUUACCUACUUAAGUAAAUUUUUCUCGGAAAAAUAAGAAUAGAAUUUCUCGCUUCAUAAGUGAUUUUAAAUAUCAUGAAAGAGAGGUAUUUAUUUCAACUUACCUGGUAUUCUAAUUUCUAACAAGAUUUUCCGGUUUUUGGCUACUCAUCAUGCGAAAACAAAAUACUUUUAGCCGAUUUCACAAAUAAAUGCAAUGAUUGCGCACUGUUUCAUUUUAUUAAAACAUUGCCUGAAUGACAAUCAUUGAAUUCAUUUGUAAAAUGGGCUAAUAGCUCAACUUUUGUUUUAUAAUUUCUAACUUGAUGCAGACACCGAAAAAAUUAGAUUUAAAACACCACACCCAAAUCACCUAAAUAACAAUGUUUUGCACGAACAUACAAUUUCAUUGAGCCACAAAGAAUAAAAUGAAAAAUUCUGAUUCUAAUCACAAUAAUUUCUCACAUGGAAUUACUUUUGUACCGAUAGGCCUCAUAGAGUGCUGCUUUAGGUUUUAUUUUCAUAAUACUGAUUUAAUUUAUUUGUACAUUCAAGAUAUUAUUAUUUGUUUUAAUUUAUUAAAAUGAGUUUUGUUUAAUGUCUAGUUCCUUUUAUUUUUACCAUUAAAGACAUAUAAUUACGAACCAAAUUAUUCAUCGAAAAGUCAUUCAGUAUGUUUAAGAUCACAAACUCGUCGAGAAUUCACCGAAAAUUCGUUCAGAUAGCAUAUUAAUAAGUUUUACAAUCAAUGUAAUCUGAAAUUGUUGACAGAAUUUUCCAAAAUGAGGAAUGAUAAUGAUGAACUAUGAAAUUAACCUCAUAGAAUACACUUUAAGUAUGGAAUAUUCUGCUUUUGACACGGCUGAAACUGAGCCACUGGCUUCCUCCAGAAAUUGUUUGUCUACUUUUCUGAUUUUCAGGAAAAUUUAUGUAAUUUGCGUAUCCCUCAAAAUUUUCCUCCAUUUCCCGAUGUCACCUAUUUCUUUGCUUUUUCUAAGCCGGAAAGAUUUGG
rnacentral:lncRNA from 1 species